rnacentral:rRNA from 1 species
CCUACGGGAGGCAGCAGUGGGGAAUAUUGCACAAUGGGGGGAACCCUGAUGCAGCAACGCCGCGUGGGUGAAGAAGUACUUCGGUAUGUAAAGCCCUGUCAGCAGGGAAGAAAAUGACGGUACCUGACCAAGAAGCCCCGGCUAACUACGUGCCAGCAGCCGCGGUAAUACGUAGGGGGCAAGCGUUAUCCGGAUUUACUGGGUGUAAAGGGAGCGUAGACGGCCAGGCAAGUCUGGAGUGAAAGCCCGGGGCUCAACCACGGGACUGCUUUUGAAACUGUGUGGCUGGAGUGCAGGAGGGGCAAGCGGAAUUCCUAGUGUAGCGGUGAAAUGCGUAGAUAUUAGGAGGAACACCGGUGGCGAAGGCGGCCUACUGGACUGUAACUGACGUUGAGGCUCGAAGGCGUGGGGAGCAAACAGGAUUAGAUACCCUUGUAGUC